CGGGGUGGAGUAAUGUCUGGGAAACUAGCCUGAUGGAGGGGGAUAACUGCUGGAAACGGUAGCUAAUACCGCAUAACGUCGCAAGACCAAAGAGGGGACCUUCGGGCCUCUUGCCAUCGGAUGUGCCCAGAUGGGAUUAGCUAGUAGGUGGGGUAACGGCUCACCUAGGCGACGAUCCCUAGCUGGUCUGAGAGGAUGACCAGCCACACUGGAACUGAGACACGGUCCAG
rnacentral:rRNA from 1 species